GUGCUCACUUCAGCAGCAUAUAUACUAAAUUGGAAGGAUACAGAGAAGAUUAGCAUAGUCGUUGUGAAAGGAUGACAUGCAAAUUCAUUAAGUAUUCUAUUCUUUU
ensembl:snRNA U6 U6 spliceosomal RNA